ACUCCUACGGGAGGCAGCAGUGAGGAAUUUUCCGCAAUGGGCGAAAGCCUGACGGAGCGACGCCGCGUGUGGGAAGAAGGCCUUCGGGUCGUAAACCACUGUCGAAGGGGACGAUAAUGACGGUACCCUUGGAGGAAGCCCCGGCUAACUACGUGCCAGCAGCCGCGGUAAU
rnacentral:rRNA from 1 species